GAUUGAUGGUGAAACUGUAAAACGUAAAGAGAGAGCGCGCGCGCGAGAGAGAGAGAGAGAGGGAAGAAAUCAGCGGAUGGCAAUGGCGAGGCGAGCUGGGAGCAGGAGCAAGAACGAGUCAGCAAUCACUAGAGGUGUCAACAAGGUUUUCGGAUUCGUCAGAGCGGCCGAAUUUGAGAUCCUCUGCGUUCUCUUCAUUAUCAUCGCCUUUAUCAUCUUCAAAGAUCUGGUCCGUUUUCUCUUCCUUCAUUUUUUAUUUAUUAAUUUGAUACUGCGUUUUAGUUCUUGCAAUGGAAUAUAUAUAUAUAUAUAUAUAUAUUUUUUUUUUUGAUCUCUUAAUGUUAAAUGGUAGUGAUUUCUGAACGUUGUUGCCUGAAAAACAAUAGAAAAAAACAAAAAAAAAAGUCUAUUUUGGGUAUCUGAUUUGAGACAUUUGAAUAAUAGCUAAACAAUUAUACAAGCAAGCUCCAAGAAGGAAACUGAAAUCUUUUUUAUUUUUUUAUUUUUUAUUUUUAUUUUUGUUUUUUUGGGGGUAAUAAACUGAAAUUUGGAUUUGGUAGGUAGCAAUGAAAAUGCACUUUUUUCUUCCAACAAUUUAAUAUGAGGAUCGAGAGAGCCUGCAAAGUUUGAUAAGAAAAUACCCAAGUUCUCUGGAAACAAAAAAUUCUAAGAGGACGAACUUGUUACAAAGAACACUAUGGACAAAAGGGAUGAGAUUCUUGGAACCUUUGUUUGAAUGAAUUUAGGAAUUUAGAAAUCUUAUUUUGGUUGGAAUUGGAUAGAACUACAGAGAAGAUUUCUUUAGGGGAAAAAAGUAGUGCUCAUACAUAUUAAGCUUUAUAGUUGGUUCGAGUUUGAUUGCAUGAAGGUGGUUGAAUCUGAGUGCUUGGAAGUAGAGCCUAAUUUCAGUUUUUUUAUUAAGCUUUAUCUCAAUUAUGUUAUAUCAUAUAUGUCUUAUGUGAAAUUAUCUGAGUUCCUCGACAUGUAUUCUUUUCUGUCUUUUUGUCCUAUUGAAAGCAAUAUUUUACCAAGUUUCUUAAUCAUGUGAGUCUUAGCUCCUUCCACUUGGACAUUUUAAUUAAAAUUUUGUGUUUUUUCAUUCAUUUUACUCAAAAGAAUUCAUCCCAUCAUGCUCAACUUUCCCUCCUCUUUUUCUGUUAGUGCUGCUUCCAACAUCAAAUAAGCUUGAACAUACUGCUUUUGAACCCAUCUGUUACUUUGUAGAAUAAAGCAUGGCUAACCUGAUGGUGGUACAUAGAAACUUCGCUUUACCAUUCCUCCGCUUUGUCCAUCUUGCUUUGUCCAUGGAUAACAUCCUGCACAAUGUAGUUAUUCCUAGGAAUCCAGAUUCUACAUGUACCAAAUAAUCAUUCUUUCACAACUAAUCAAGUAUUCAUCAUUUAUUUGACGAUUCCAUUAUCUUUAGUCUUUGUCUAAUUAACAUACUUCCAUUUGUAUUUGAUCUUAAUUUUACAUAGUAAUAUAGGAUAUUCCUCAAUUUUAGACUUUAGAAGCAUGGUCAGUGUAGCUUAUAGGUUAUUCAUGGUUCAGAAUUAUAUAUAUAUGUAAAGCUUUGAUAGAGAACCUGUAGUUUGCCCUAAACUUGACUAAAGUAUAAGAGCACAAGUGCACAUCAAGUAACUAAUUCAUCUGAACUAAGCAUAACUAGCUCAACCCAACCAUGAGGAAGUAGCCCCAAAUAACUGUUGUUAGCCUAAGAUUUGGUUUAAGAUUUUUACCACUGAUACAUGAUUAUAUAGCUUUAAGAUUGGUUUCAGCUAAUCGAAAAACAAUUCAGCUUACUCAUAUAAUGAACUAGUUGGGCAAUAGAGUAGGCCAUACAAGCUUCUUGAGAGAGAGAGCACAAAUGUUUUGACUUUGGAAAAUUGAUUUUGAUAUGAUGUCUGCAUGAAUCAUCUUAUUCCAAAAUUACACAAAAUAAACAGGGCUUAGCAAUAGAAGUCGUCAUUCAUGAAUCAUCUUAUUCCAAAAUUACACAAAAUAAACAGGGCUUAGCAAUAGAAGUCGUCAUUCAGGUUUACAAAUUAUAUGUAAAGGGAUAGAGAAAGAGAGCUAGUUAGGUUAGCUUGAUCUAUGGUGUCAAGAAAUACAUAAAAAAAAAAUUAAAAAAAAAUAAAGAAAAAGAUUAUUGAAACUAAACACCACUAUUACCCCAGUGCUUAUUAUUCUUUUCUAUGCAGGCUAGACAAAUGAUGAUUGUUUAGCAAUUUACUUUUUGUAUAUGUCCAAUAUGAAACCAAAGGUGGGGCCAAAAGUAUAUCCGUGAAGAGUUCCAAAAUGAAACUUUUGUAUGCUAAGAACAGAGUCCAACGUGAAUUUAGUGAAGCUAGCUUUGUCUCUUUUCCAUCUGCCUUUGCUCUACCAAAAACCAUCAGUUACUGUCUUAUAUAAUAUCCAUUCCAGGGCUUCCUUUGCUGAAACAACAGUCAUCACAAUUUUAAACAGAAUAACUUUGCUGUCACAUUAGGUGUCAAAAUUAUUUUUAUAGCCCAUUAUUCUGGAUGAAUAUUAGGUCUCUUUCUCUCCCUCUCCUAUUUGUAUAUAUAUAUAUAUAUAUACAUAUGCAUGAUAAAUUUCAUAAGAAAUUGUAUAUUUAUUAGUUUCAGGGAGGUCUCCCAUCAAAUAAUAUUGUAUGGCAAGUGGAUUAGCAGAACACGCAUAACUACUACUAAUAUAUAUAUCCUGCCCUUGUUGACUAAUAGGAUUGAUAGUUGGUUAGGUUAUUUGUUGCCAUAGUUAUUUGUUUAAGAAUAGAGACAUGGACUUAAAAAACUUUCGUUGGCCAAUCCUUUUCUGCAUUAUAGUCCAAGUCCAAAACCAGUAUUGACCACAUGCACUGCCUAUUUUUCUUCACAUAAUCCUAGGAACUAUAUGAUCCCAUUCACCUAGUUACACCUAACCCUUAAGCUGGCUUUGAAGAAAGCGACUUUGCAAUUCAUUUGCCUCCGCCAAAUCAAUUUUAAUUGUUCAGUAUUGGUAGUUUGGUAUGUUAUCUGUGGUUGAUUUCAACUAUAUCCAUUCUCCAAAACACAAAUUUUGAAGGGCUGAGUAGGGAGAAUUCCCAAAGUAUAAGAUGUGAGGAGAGCUAUGGAUGAAGAUUCAGAGGGUGCUUUCAAACAAACUCUGGAGGAAACUGGAGCCUGGAGAUCACAUCUACACAUGGAAGGGAGGCAAUACAAAAUCUUAUCAUGCAUAUAAACACUAUUCAUGGGAUAUUAUUUGCCUGCUUGUAUGAGACCCCAGGGAUAUAUAUUUUCGAUGACAAGGUGAUCCAGUUUGAUUGUCAUGGUGUGGUCUUUUCAUCCAUAGAAGAUUUUCUUUCUUGUGAAGAUGUCUAUCUCUUUGAAUAUGGUGUCAAUCCAGCUCUCUUCCUCACCAAAUUCCGGGAACAUACUUCCACCCUUGCCUCUGCCGAUCCACCUCAAGUUGUUCAGGACUGUACGGCCGUCCUUCUCAACUAUGGCGCCUCCAGUGACUAUUACCACUUCAUAAACAACGAUGAAGACUUUGCACUGUAUUGCAAAACAGGAUUGCUAGUAGUAGACAGCAUUGUUUUCAGCAGAAGUUGGCAAACAGCAUUUUUCUUGGCUGUUACUACUGCUGUCUUUCUUUCCCUACUGCAACUUGCCCCUGCUACUUUUACUGGUCUGGCAGCUAGAUGUCUCGGCGUUUACUAUGUUUGUAGAUUGGUUUCUGAUAUCGGAGCUCAUCCUAAUGUUAUCAAAAUUGAAGCAGAGAGAUUGCCAGUGGUUGAUGAGAUAUUGGCUUCUGGUGGUUUGGGCCGUAUUGAAUUCUUAAUGACCUGUUUUUAAGAAUACUAAUGUGUGCUUUUGCCUUUUUUUGUUUGCUAUUAAGUUUUGGUCUCAGACUCUUCCAGUGCUCUGGACUCUCGCAUGCUUCACACUUUUCUACUGGGCAGUAUUUGGAAAAAGGCUGCUUUCUAAUAAGAUACAUAAGAAGCAAAUGAAGCCUAAGGAUCACAUCCUCGCAUGGAGGCGGAACUGAAGGUAUAUAUGUGGGUGAUGGAGAGGUGAUUCACCUCGAUCGAGGAGAAGACCCUAUUGGUGGUGGUGGUCAAUCAACGCCAAAACUCAAGGGGGUACCUGUACCCUUGCCUCUACCAGUCCAACAGAAGAUGUCCUGCACCGUGCUCAUUUCCUCGGAAAGCAUGAUGGUUUUGGUGCCUACAAACUUUUCAACAACGGUGAAGACUUUGCAAUAUAUUGCAAACUGGCUUGCUGGCAAGGAAUGUCAUUGAUCUUGGCACGAGCGGGCAGAUAGCAACCCCAUUUGCUGUUAUUUAUGCAAUCCUUCUUUUUCCACGAGGAUUCCCAGCUAGUAAUUUUAUUGUUGUGUCAGCCAUGUGUUAUGUUAUAUACUCCAUCUUGCGAUUUAUUUAUGAUGCCAAAUAUUGUGGGAAUGCUUGUAAAGUUUCUGUUGAGAGAUUGGCCGCACUAUGGAGAGUUGGUAACUUUUGUUAUAGUUGUAUUGAUUCGUUUUGAAAGGAGAUAGAUUUUGAGGUUUUGAGUGAGGAUUAAGAUAAGUAAAUGCGUAGCUAAAUUUAUGAUUUACAAGAUUGACAACGGUUAUUGGUUGAGUUCUUAAGUAAUGAAAGAUCAUUGAUACAUUAGUUACAUGUUAAAGACAA